GAUGAACGCUGGCGGCGUGCUUAACACAUGCAAGUCGAACGGGAAUUACUUUAUUGAAACUUCGGUCGAUUUAAUUUAAUUCUAGUGGCGGACGGGUGAGUAACGCGUGGGUAACCUGCCUUAUACAGGGGGACAACAGUCAGAAAUGACUGCUAAUACCGCAUAAGCGCACAGAGCUGCAUGGCUCAGUGCGAAAAACUCCGGUGGUAUAAGAUGGACCCGCGUUGGAUUAGCUAGUUGGUGAGGUAACGGCCCACCAAGGCGACGAUCCAUAGCCGGCAUGAGAGGGUGAACGGCCACAUUGGGACUGAGACACGGCCCAGACUCCUACGGGAGGCAGCAGUGGGGAAUAUUGCACAAUGGGGGAAACCCUGAUGCAGCGACGCCGCGUGAAGGAAGAAGUAUCUCGGUAUGUAAACUUCUAUCAGCAGGGAAGAAUUAGGACGGUACCUGACUAAGAAGCCCCGGCUAACUACGUGCCAGCCGCCGCAGUAAGAC
rnacentral:rRNA from 1 species